rnacentral:rRNA from 1 species
GUCUUAGCUUGCUAAGGCCGAUGGCGACCGGCGCACGGGUGAGUAACACGUAUCCACCCUUACGGGGACUCUUGGACAGNCUUCUGAAAGGAAGAUUACUUUAAGAUGGCAUCAUGAGUCCGCAUGUUCACAUGAUUAAAGGUAUUCCGGUAGACGAUGGGGAUGCGUUCCAUUCGAUAGUAGGCGGGGUAACGGCCCACCUAGUCUUCGAUGGAUAGGGGUUCUGAGAGGAAGGUCCCCCACAUUGGAACUGAGACACGGUCCAAACUCCUACGGGAGGCAGCAGUGAGGAAUAUUGGUCAAUGGGCGAGAGCCUGAACCAGUCAAGUAGCGUGAAGGAUGACUGCCCUAUGGGUUGUAAACUUCUUUUAUAAAGGAAUAAAGUCGGGUAUGCAUACCCGUUUGCAUGUACUUUAUGAAUAAGGAUCGGCUAACUCCGUGCCAGCAGCCGCGGUAAUACGGAGGAUCCGAGCGUUAUCCGGAUUUAUUGGGUUUAAAGGGAGCGUAGAUGGAUGUUUAAGUCAUUUGUGAAAGUUUGCGGCUCACCCGCCAAAAUUGCAUUUGAUACUGGAUAUCUUGAGUGCAGCUGAGGCACGCGGAAUUCGUGGUGUAGCGGUCGAACAUGCUUAGAUAUCACGAAGAACUCCGAUUGAAGGG